UUAAUUUGUCAAAAUGACAAAAAAAGGAUAUGUAAUUGAUUGUUGUGGUUGUUAAAAGGAGGAUAGUGUUGAUAUCUUUAAAAAUUAUUUGGAUAAUAUAAUCUUUUAUUUAGUCAAAGAGUAAUUUUAAAAUAAAUAGAUACCCCUUACUUAUGACUUCUUACUUGUUUUAAGUAGCUUUUUAAACUUACAAGCCAUAUCAAACACUAAUCUAUUUAUAACGUUUUACUUAUAAGUAGGUUUGAUUGACUUAUAAGUCAAACCAAACACCUUCUAAGACAAGAUACAUUAAAGACUACACAAACUGAUACCUGCAAGAAUAUCAAGGAAGAGAGAAAAAGUUGCUAGUGCUAUAGAGUUAGAUAAGAGCAUUACCUAAGAUCUCGUGGCCGAAGCAA
rnacentral:misc_RNA from 1 species